AGAGAGAGUGAGUGUCCCUCUGUUGCCCAGGCUAGAGUGCAGUGGGUCGAUCUCAGCUUACUGCAACAUCCACCUCCUGGUUCAAUUGAUUAUUGUGGCUCAGCUUCCCAAGUAGCUGGGAUUACAGGCAUGCGCCAACACACCAGGCCAAUUUUUGUAUUUUUAGUAGAGACAGAGUUUCACCAUGAUGGCCAGCCUGAUCUCAAACUCUGGCCUCAAGUGAUCUGCCCUCCUCAGUCUCCCAAAAUGCUGGGAUUACAGGGGUGAGCCACCGUGCCCAGUCUAAAAAUUUGUAUUGAAGUACAAUAUACAUAAGGAAAAAUGUACAUAUCCCAAGUGUAAAGCUUGAAUACUAACAAACCAAACAUACUCAUAUAGUCAGCUCCCAGAAAAUAAGCAGAACAUUUCCUGCACCUUCAGAAUCUCCCCUCAUGCUGCCCUCUAGUAACUCUGCCCCCAACAAUCACUAUUCUGACUUCAAACAGUGCAGGUCAGUUUAUACAAUAGCUUUUUUAUUAUUUAUUAUUUAUUUAUUUAUUUAUUUUUUGAGACAGAGUCUCACUCUGUCGCCCAGGCCGGAGUGCAGUGGCACGAUCUCGGCUCACUGCAAGCUCCACCUCCCGGGUUCAAGUGAUUCUCCUGCCUCAGCCUGCCAAGUAGCUGGGACUACAGGCGCCCGCCACCACGCCCGGCUAAUUUUUUGUAUUUUUUAGUAGAGACGGGGUUUCACCGUGUUAGCCAGGAUGGUCUUGAUCUCCUGACCUCAUGAUCCACCCGCCUUGGCCUCUGAAAGUGCUAGGAUUACAGGCGUGAGCCACCGCGCCCGGCUAUGCGAUAGCUUUUUAAGGAAGUUUCAGAAGAGCGGUAUGUCCAUUUUCAAUUCAUUUUCCACACAGCUGCCAGAAUUAGUUUUCUAAAAUAGAAAUUCUAUCAUGUCACUUCCUUUUAAAAACUCAUCAGUGUCUUCCAAUUGUACUUAAAACUAAACACAAACUUCAACUUCCAUAAAGUCAUGAUCAAUAUGGCCCUUCACUUGCUAUUCCUUCUUUUUAUUUUAUUUUAUUUUUUUUUUUUUGCGACAGAGUCUUGCUCUGUCACCCAGGCUGGAGUGCAGAGGUGCAAUCUUAGAUCACUGCAACCUCCGCCUCCCAGAUUCAAGCGAUUCUCUUGCCUCAGCCUCCCUAGUAGAGUAGCUGGGACUACAGGCACAUGCCACCACACCCGGCUAAUUUUUGUAUUUUUAGUAAAGACAAGGUUUCACCAUGUUGGCUAGGCUGGUCUCAAACUCCUGACCUCAAGUGAUCCGCUCACCUCAGCCUCCAAAAGUGCUGGGAUUACAGGGGUGAGCCACCUUGCCCAGCUAUUCCAUCUUUUUUGUGGGAGAAGAGGGGCAAGUUCUCGCUCUGUUGCCUAGGCUAGAAUACAGUGGUGGAAUCACACCUCAGCCUCCUGAGUAAUUGAGACUACACACGCGCACCACCAUGCCUGGCUAAUUUCUGUAUUUCUGUGUAGACUUUUGCCAUGUUGCCCAGGCUGGUUUCAAACUCCUGAGCGCAAGGAAUCUGCCGGCCUCGGCCUUCGAAAAUGCUGGGAUUACAGGCAUCGGCCACUGCCUGGCCCUCAUCAUUUUUCUUGCUACUCCACCCCUGGUUCCCUGAGCUACAGCAACAUCAGCUUUCUUUCAGUUCCUUCGUUGUAUUAAGUUCUUUCCUAACUCCGGGACUUCACCCAAGCUGUUUGUUCCAUUUGGAAUUUUGCUUUCUUGGCUUUUUCUCCUUUUCAUCUUUCACCUCUCAGCAUAAAUAUCACCUCUGGACUCAAACCAUCCUCCCACCCCAGCUUCCUGGCUAGCUGGGACCACAGGCGUGCACCACACACUCGACUAAUUUUUUGUAGAGACAGGAUUUCACCAUGUUGCCCAGGCUGGUCUCAAAUUCCUGGACUCAAGUGAUCCUCCCACCUUGGCCUCCCGAAGUGCUAGGAUUACAGGCUUGAGCCACUGUGCCCGGCCAAGGUCUUAACUAAAGUCCUAAAAUAUGUUCUCUAAACAAAUAUAGAUAUGUUUUCUUUCUUUUUUUUUUUUUUUUUUUGAGAUGGAGUCUUUCUCUGUCACGCAGGCUGCAGUGCAGUGGCAAGAUCUCAGCUUACUGCAACUUCCACCUCCCAAGUUUAAGUGAUUCUCCUGCCUCAGCCUCUGGAGUAGCUGGGAUGACAGCCACAUACCACCACACCUGGCUAAUUUUUGCAUUUUUAGUAGAGUAGGCCACCAUGUUGGCCAGACUGGUCUUGAACCCCUGUCCUCAAGUGAUCUGCCCUCCUCUGCCUCCCAGAGUACUGGGAUUACAGGCGUGAGCCACCACGCCCAGGCUGUUAUGUUU
rnacentral:lncRNA from 1 species